GCCGGGCGUGGUGGCGGGCGCCUGUAGUCCCAGCUGCUCGGGAGGCUGAGGCAGGAGAAUUGCUUGAACCCAGGAGGCAGAGCUUGCAGUGAGCCAAGAUCGUGCCACUGCACUCCAGCCUGGGUGACAGAGCGAGACUCUGUCUCAG
rnacentral:SRP_RNA from 2 species